CCUACGGGAGGCAGCAGUGGGGAAUAUUGCACAAUGGGGGAAACCCUGAUGCAGCAACGCCGCGUGAGCGAAGAAGGCCUUCGGGUCGUAAAGCUCUGUCCUAAGGGGAGCAAUUUGACGGUACCUUAGGAGGAAGCCCCGGCUAACUACGUGCCAGCAGCCGCGGUAAUACGUAGGGGGCGCGCGUUAUCCGGAGUCACUGGGCGUAAAGGGUGCGUAGGCGGCUAAGUAAGCCAGGGGUGAAAGGCUACGGCUCAACCGUGGUAAGCCUUUGGAACUACUUAGCUUGAGUGCAGGAGAGGAGAGUGGAAUUCCCAGUGUAGUGGUGAAAUGCGUAGAUAUUGGGAGGAACACCAGUUGCGAAGGCGGCUCUCUGGACUGUAACUGACGCUGAGGCACGAAAGCGUGGGGAGCGAACAGGAUUAGAUACCCUAGUAGUC
rnacentral:rRNA from 1 species